CAGCAGCCACGGUAAUACGAAGGGUGCGAGCGUUAAUCGGAAUUACUGGGCGUAAAGCGUGCGCAGGCGGUUCGUUAAGACAGAUGUGAAAUCCCCGGGCUUAACCUGGGAACUGCAUUUGUGACUGGCGAGCUAGAGUAUGGCAGAGGGGGGUAGAAUUCCACGUGUAGCAGUGAAAUGCGUAGAGAUGUGGAGGAAUACCGAUGGCGAAGGCAGCCCCCUGGGCCAAUACUGACGCUCAUGCACGAAAGCGUGGGGAGCAAACAGGAUUAGAUACCCGCGUAGUCCCUGUCUCUUAUAC
rnacentral:rRNA from 1 species